rnacentral:pre_miRNA from 17 species
CAGAGCUUGUGGAGUGUGACAAUGGUGUUUGUGUCCAAACUAUCAACGCCAUUAUCACACUAAAUAGCUACUGU